rnacentral:lncRNA from 1 species
CCCACCCCAAAUUCACAUGUUGAAGCCCUAACCUCCAAUGUGAUGGUAUUUGGAGAUGGGGCCUUUGGAAGGUAAUUAAGGCUAGAUAGGGUCACAAGGUUGGUCCCCUUAUGAUGGCAUUUGUGUUCUUAUACAAAGAGACAGGAGACUCUCUCCAUCAUGUGAAGAUACAGCAAAACAGCAGCUGUCUGCAAGCCAGGAAGGGAACCCUCACCAGGAACCAAACCAUGAUCUCGGACGUCCCAGCCUCUAGGAACGCCUUUCCAUCUUCCUAGAGUGCCUAACCUGGCCUGUGUGCUUGUAAGCUUCUGCUCAUUCUUCAAUACCCAGCAGAGACUUCCUCCUCCAUGCAGCCUUCCAAGACCCACCUGAGUACAGAAAUUGGCUCUUCCUCCUGCUGGUCCUGAGGCACUCCAUGUUCAUCCUAAGAAAGGUCACUUGCUCUGGGGAAAGCCACCUGCCAUGCCGUGAGGACAUUCAAACUGCCUAUGGAGAGGUCCACAUAGUGAAAAACUAAGGCCCCUGCCAAAACCCAUGUGAGCCAUCUUGGAAACAGAUCCUUCAGCCCUAGAUCAGAUACCAUCAGCAUAAUGUCAUCAAUGCAGUGGACCAGUGUGACAUGGGGAACAUAAAGAUGGUCACGAUUUUUGCAGACUCCAUAUGCAAAGUAUUAUAGGCCUUUCCAUCUAUCCGGAGUGACCUACCAGAGACAGGACAGUUUGACCAGCAAGCUUCUGAUCACUCUUCAACACCCAGCAAGAAGUCUUAUCCUCCAUGCAGCCUUCUAAGACCUCUCUAAGCACAGGUAUCAGAUCCUCCUCUGGAUCACUCUGUCUUGUUACUGCAUUUAUCUCACUGGAUUUCAGUGACGUGUGUAGACAACUAAUUUGUGCCUGCCUGAUCUGUGAGCUCUUCAUUCAAAGCAGUUGGCUCCUGAGUACAGGAUAAACCCCUAGAAUUGAAUAAAUUUGGUCUUACCUCA